CUUUUGAAUUCUGGAAUCUCCAAUUCGAAAUUGUAUUGUUUCUCUGCUGUGAAUUGGAAUAGACAGGUAAUACAAGGCCAGGUGAACUGUAUCAAGAUGGAAUUUUUAUUAAUUUGGCAUGUUUGCAAAAUGCUUUUAGUCUGGAUGGCAAUCAAAGCUCUGAGAUUUGAACUGAUGUCAAACCCUUAGGACAACUUCUUGGUGUUACCACAUGCAUGAUGACUGCAGAAAGCUCCAAAAAUCUACCAAAUAUCAUGUAUUCAGUGAAUUUGGAAUACCCAAAGCAUUCUUUUGAUUCUCCAGUGGAAAGAUACUUGAAUGUCUUCGAUGUCGGCAAUGCUGAAGAGCAGCCAUGUGAAAUGCAUGAACAGAGGAGUGGUUUUCAGAUGGUAUUUCAUCCAGAACUGCAUCCUAGAAGCAUUAAGUGCUAUAAAGGAUUGGAGGCCUGAUCCUCUGGCAUGGGUUACCCAGAGAGCUGCGGACGUCUCACCUCUGGAG
rnacentral:lncRNA from 1 species